rnacentral:rRNA from 1 species
CUCCCUACUCCAAUCAGUGAAACUGAUCUCCCCGUGAAAAAGCAGGGAUAUCCUUAUAAGACGAGAAGACCCCAUGGAGCUUUAAGCCCGGUAACAACCCCCUCCAUUUAUUCCCUUUUAGACUAAAAGACCUUGCUUACCACUUUAGGUUGGGGCGACCACGAAGUACACUAAAACCUUCACGAUAAAAGGAGCCUGCUCCUUAUCUACGAGCUACCCCUCUAAGAAUCAGAACCCCGAUAUAAAAUGAUCCGAUCUAAUCGAUCAACGAACCAAGUUACCCUGGGGAUAACAGCGCAAUCCAUUUUAAGAGUUCUUAUCGCCAAAUGGGUUUACGACCUCGAUGUUGGAUCAGGGUAUCCUGGUGGUGCAACCGCUACUAACGGUUCGUUUGUUCAACGAUUAAAACCCU